rnacentral:rRNA from 1 species
GACGAACGCUGGCGGCGUGCUUAACACAUGCAAGUCGAACGGAAAGGCCCUGCUUUUGUGGGGUGCUCGAGUGGCGAACGGGUGAGUAACACGUGAGUAACCUGCCCUUGACUUUGGGAUAACUUCAGGAAACUGGGGCUAAUACCGGAUAGGAGCUCCUGCUGCAUGGUGGGGGUUGGAAAGUUUCGGCGGUUGGGGAUGGACUCGCGGCUUAUCAGCUUGUUGGUGGGGUAGUGGCUUACCAAGGCUUUGACGGGUAGCCGGCCUGAGAGGGUGACCGGCCACAUUGGGACUGAGAUACGGCCCAGACUCCUAAGGGAGGCAGCAGUGGGGAAUAUUGCACAAUGGGCGGAAGCCUGAUGAAGCAACGCCGCGUGCGGGAUGACGGCCUUCGGGUUGUAAACCGCUUUCGCCUGUGACGAAGCGUGAGUGACGGUAAUGGGUAAAGAAGCACCGGCUAACUACGUG